AGCUGCUGCUGGAGUGUGAGGGCUGGGCCUGCAGUAAACCUGUGGCUGCUAAUUCAAGUGGACUAGACAUCUGGACAAGCUACACCCCCUGCACUCUCUGAUGUGGACUAAAAUCGUCACUAGUUGCCUAGGCCUGUGGAUUUCAAAAAGCAUUUAGGACUUCAGAUUGGGUCAGUGACCCCUAUUUUCAAGCUGGGAAGAGUCAGAAGAAGGUGGAAAAUACUUCAACAAGAAAUGGCGAAAGAUUCCCGAAACACAUUCAAGUCUACGGGCGACAUUUUUGUAGAGGCAACAUUACCAUGUGGCAAUUUUUUUGGCUCCAUUUCGAGAAACGGAGGAAUUCGCUGCAAAACCAUACAGGGUGAAAAAAUGUGCUCAUCACUAUUAAGCACUGUAGAUUUAGAUACUGUAAGUAAUGGCUUGCAUAAUAAUUCAUGACAAAACACCUGCAAUGAAUAUGAACUGAACAAAAAGCAUUAAAUAGUGAUAUUGCAGGAAUUCUGAAAUAACACCCUCAUUUUUUUUCAUAGAUUUUCCAUUUAAUUUUUUUGUCUUGGUGUAUACGCCCCUA